UUUAGGUACUUUAUUCCCCGAGCCUGCAGUAGUCUAGUAGAUGCAGACUGCAUUAAUACAGACCCUGUUUAGGAACACACACAUCUUACAACCUCCCCUCUCAUCCCCACAGGAAACUCUCAAACACACAAUACAGGCAAAAGAACAAGGCCAGGUAUCAAACAAAGCUUUGCACUCCCAUCCACAACAAGAUCACAUUCAAGUCUCACCUUUAAAGCAAACACUGCGGCUAACGCGGUGCAGCAAUGCUAGACACUGACACCAAACACACAGUUUCCUGAAUACCAGGAAGUCUCGGGUACCGGAGAGAAGAUAUUCUUAGUACAGCUUGCUGUGGUGGUUUUGUAUGACACUGCAGAAGGACCCCUUUCACACAGGUGACAUCCAUCACUAACAUAUUCAGUGAAGUCCCCCUAUUCCUAUUCUGCCUUUUUUUUUUUUUUUCGCACAUGGCUUACAAAUUAGCCAUUACGCACAAAUGCCCUGUAGUCACUGGGUCGCACCAUAGGAGCGUGUAGGUCAGACAUGCUGCAGGCCCACAUUACGUGGCCAGCCUUGUAUACAUACCAGUGACCCAUGUUCAGAGUAACCGAUCUUCUAUCAGAGGCAAUGUCCAUCAGUUGGACGGCUGGCUGCAUUUCAGAACAGCUCUCUCCUUCCCACAUUUAACAUCGACACAUGAUCAUUCAAACAGUUUAGACUUCAAGUCAUUUCGCCAGUAGGCUUCUACUGGAAAUUCCCAAGAACCACCUCCAGGCAAGAGCACAGGAUGCAAAUCGUCUCCCAGCUGUUUGAUUAUAUGGCUGGUAAUUGACAACAUUGAUUUAACAUUUCUUAAUCUACCCAGAAGAGAUUUAACUUAAAAAAAAAAAAGUUAAGAGAAUCAGGUUAAAACGUUCCUGUUUUUGAAACCUGAAGGAAUAAAAUCUGAACAGCAGCAUUUAAAACCAAGAUAACACAAGACAACAUAAAACCUCGCCAAUCCCAACACUGAUACCACAUUGACCUGGGUUGUACAAAUCAUGCCAUCUGAACACUUUGAGCCUUCUGUUACGGUGAUACUGGGGGGGCUUUAAGAACUUAUGGAAACUAAGUCCACUCUGAGACAGCCUUCCCAAAAAAAGAGCCAGCUUCACUGGCAAGAUGCUGGCAUGCAAAGAAGUACAGCCACUGCCAAGCCAGGCAUAUUUUGAUCUCUCUCAAAAAGAAAAAGCAAAUCUGUUUAGUUGCUAAACUGCUUUGGCAUUCGCUAGGUAUAACUUUUCCACAAAGGGACAGGGCUGAACCUGUUUUGGCUACUGCUCUAGCUAGUUAAGCCAAAUGACUGCUAGGUCCUAGGACUGCUUAUUUCAAUGGAGAGCAAUGCUGGCCUCAGAAAGGUCUCCCUUUUACAAGUGUUAGUUGGGCCUCCUGAUGCCGACAGCUUGUUGGCUGCAGCUGUGCAACAGACAAGCCAGAAGGACAAACACCUGAAGUGAAAUCCCCAGCUGUAAGAGCUAUUUUAGAAUAGUUUCACGGUUGGAAGCAGCUCAUGUUUGGCAGAAAUAAGCCAAAUCAGCUUGCUAAGGAUGGAACAAGUGUCAUAGCUCAUAGUUAGGUUCCCACCUUAAAGUACACAGCAGUAAUGUCCAGACC